rnacentral:rRNA from 1 species
AUUGAACGCUGGCGGCAGGCCUAACACAUGCAAGUCGAGCGAGCGGCGGACGGGUGAGUAAUGUAUGGGGACUGCCCGAUAGAGGGGGAUAACUACUGGAAACGGUGGCUAAUACCGCAUACUAUCGGAUAACCCAUAUGGGAUUAGCUAGUAGGUGGGGUAACGGCUCAGCUAGGCGACGAUCUCUAGCUGGUCUGAGGGGAUGAUCAGCCAAACUGUGACUGAGACACGGCCCAGAGUCCUACGGAGGCAGCAGUGGGGAAUAUUGCACAAUGGGCGCAAGCCUGAUGCAGCCAUGCCGCGUGUAUGAAGAAGGCCUUAGGGUUGUAAAGUACUUUCAGCGGGGAGGCGUUACCCGCAGAAGAAGCCCCGGCUAACUCCGUGCCAGCAGCCGCGGUAAUUC